rnacentral:tRNA from 1 species
AGCGGGUGUAGUUUAGUGGUAAAACUACAGCAUUCCAAGCUGUUGUCGCGAGUUCGAUUCUCGUCACCCGCUU